GACGAAGGAUGCAAGCGUUAUCCGGAUUCAUUGGGUUUAAAGGGAGCGUAGGCGGCCUUGUAAGUCAGUGGUGAAAUCUCGCGGCUUAACUGCGAAACUGCCAUUGAUACUGCAGGGCUUGAGUACAGUUGCCGUUGGCGGAAUAUGACAUGUAGUGGUGAAAUACAUAGAGAUGUCAUAGAACACCGAUUGCGAAGGCAGCUGACGAAACUGUAACUGACGCUGAGGCUCGAAAGUGUGGGGAUCAAACAGG
rnacentral:rRNA from 1 species